rnacentral:rRNA from 1 species
GUCCUGGCUGUAAACGAUGUCGACUAGAUCGUAGUGGCUCUGACGCUAUUACGGUCGAAGCAAAAGUGCUAAGUCGACCGCCUGGGAAGUACGGUCGCAAGGCUAAAACUCAAAGGAAUUGACGGGGGCUCACACAAGCGGUGGAGCAUGUGGUUCAAUUCGAAGCAACGCGCAGAACCUUACCUGGGCUUGACAUGCCAGGAUUAUCCCCAUGAAAGUGGGGUAGGCCCUUCGGGUACAACUGGUACAGGUGCUGCAUGGCUGUCGU